rnacentral:rRNA from 1 species
AGGGCACCACCAGGAGUGGAGCCUGCGGCUUAAUUUGACUCAACACGGGAAAUCUCACCAGGCCCGGACACCGGAAGGAUUGACAGAUUGAGAGCUCUUUCUUGAUUCGGUGGGUGGUGGUGCAUGGCCGUUCUUAGUUGGUGGAGCGAUUUGUCUGGUUAAUUCCGAUAACGAACGAGACUCUGGCCUACUAACUAGAUGAUUCCUGGUUUAUCCGGGAGUCACUGCUUCUUAGAGGGACGGGCGGCGUUUAGCCGCACGAGAAUGAGCAAUAACAGGCCUGUGAUGCCCUUAGAUGUUCUGGGCUGCACGCGCGCUACACUGAAGGAAUCAGCGUGUCCUCCCCACCCUGGCAAGGGCGGGUAACCCGUUGAAACUCCUUCGUGAUGGGGAUUGGAGAUUGUAAUUAUUCUCCAUGAACGAGGAAUUCCCAGUAGGCGCGAGUCAUCAGCUUGCGUCGAUUACGUCCCUGCCCUUUGUACACACCGCCCGUCGCUACUACCGAUCGAGUGAUUUAGU